GGCGAAGACUCCUGCCUAAGUCCCNUGGAACGGGGCGUCAUAGAGGGUGAGAAUCCCGUAUGUGGCGGGCAGUCUAAGCCAUGUGAAGCUCCUUCGACGAGUCGAGUUGUUUGGGAAUGCAGCUCUAAAUGGGAGGUAAAUUUCUUCUAAAGCUAAAUAUUGGCCAGAGACCGAUAGCGCACAAGUAGAGUGAUCGAAAGAUGAAAAGCACUUUGGAAAGAGAGUUAAAAAGUACGUGAAAUUGUUGAAAGGGAAGCGCUUGCAACCAGACUCGCUCGUAGUUGCUCAGCCGGCCUCUUGGCCGGUGUACUCUUCUACGAUCGGGCCAGCAUCAGUUCGGGCGGCAGGAUAAAGGUGUCGGGAAUGUAGCACCCUUCGGGGUGUGUUAUAGCCCGGCGCGGAAUGCUGCCAGCCUGGACUGAGGAUCUCGCU
rnacentral:rRNA from 1 species